UCUAGGUAGAGCUGGUGCUCAAGACAGAAGUCAGCUCUUGCUGUGAGCACAGUGCUGGUGCGAGGGACCCGGCGGGGAGCCAACAGCCCCCACGCUGCCCCGAGAUUGGUGUGGGUGGACAGGAUGAGCUCCAUGGGACAAUGGCUAGGUGGCUAUUUGCUCUCUGCUUAUUUUUCUUUUCGAGGUAGGGAAGCAGAGACGGGGGCAGGAACUGUGGUGGGUUUUCUGCACCAGACCUCUUCCGUCUGGUUCAGAGAUGAUUUGUCUGCACUGACUUCUUGUAAGCCUCGAGGUUCUGUACUGCACAGCCCUUACUGUUGUAAUGGCGAGAGUAAUCUCAGUGAUAAGGAGCCUUUGUGGGAAAAUAGAAGAGCUCAGUUUCUUCAUCUUUUUGGCCAUAAAGGCAAGGCAAAAUUUCAGCUGUCAGUUGAGUCAGUUAAAAUUUCUACAGAGCACACUGGGAGCUGUACCAAUGGAGCGCAUUCAGUGGUCUGCAACCAGAUAAAUAAUCUCUCAAGUCUGUCCAGCUUGACCUUGGAUAACUGGAGAUCAAAAAGAGAUCCACAAAGAGCUGUUAACACUGCACAAGUUUUAUUCUCUGAAGUUCUGGAAGUCCUUGUACAAACAAAAUUGAGCUACAGCGGAGCAGAUUUCAAUAAGGAAGAGCUUGUCAUAGGGGUUGUGCCUGGAGCAGGGCUCCACAGCUCUACACAGCACGCUUUAUUAACUACCUAGAGAGCAAAGCCAAGCCUUCUGACUUAAUGAAUGGCUGGUGCCACGGAAGGGCGGUGUGUGUCAGCGCAGGGAGGAAUGCUGCUGAGAGCACGGCGUGUGUGAAGGCUUGCUCUUCUGCCUCUCCCUUCUCUGCACAUCAUAGUCACUAGGGGCAGAAAUGUGUUUUAUCGUUUUUGUUAUUGAAGAAAUCAACCCAGGCUCUGACUUGAGGCAAAUCUUGCACAGGAGACAGGACUGUCUUGUCUUUACUUACGUUUACAGAUCCAAGAGGAUCCCUGAGGACAAGAGCAGAUUGGGGGCGCACGGUGGGAGACUUGUGCAGUGGUUCCUUGCCUUGAGCGUGGCAUUGCGCUGUGCUGGAUGCAAAUCCAGAGCUUGCUCAGGAUAAAGGGAGCUUACAGCAUGUCCUGCCCCUAAAACAGGAGCACCACCCUGCUCUCUUAUCUCACCCUACACGCACAGGAUCAAAGCUUGCUCUUAAAUGCAGGGCUGCAGUACAGCUCUUGCCACUGACACUUCUCCUUUUGCUGUUCCACUCUGGCAUUUUCACCUGAAUAGCUGAGAGAGAGACAAUCAGUAUUUUAAAAGCCUACAUUUUUCUUCCCAUUGAAGUAAGCUUGGAAAUAGACUUGCUUUUUAGGUGUACCCUUACGGGUACAGUCAUAUGAGGGAACCUCUCCUGUGUUGUGACAAUUCCUUUGGUUAUCUGGACUGCCAUUUUGGUUUUAUUUGCACAGCCCACACUUAUUACUGGUUUUCAGUAACAAAUAUGGGAAGAGGCAUGCGGUCCCUUGAUGUUAAUGAUGAGGUAAUGACUUUUACAGUAAUCAUUUUCUCUGUAUCAGCUUGGGCUGGGGGGCGAGCCUUUAUCCUGAGCAAAUGAGUAAAUGAUAAGCAAAUUUCAUGGAACACCCCUGCAGCCAAAACCUCUCCGACUUGCUUCUGUAGAAUUUACCCUGUCAGGCCCAGUUUAGCAUGUGCUGAAGUGAUGGUUGCAACAUUUGAUUGCUGACCUUGUCUCAGAAGCUGACUGUGAGCUUUAGAGCAAUCUGUUUUACACCCCUUGAAAGCCAAGCGGCUACAGGACGAUUUUAACGUUUUUCUUACAUUUCUGAAUGUGGAUGAAAGCCUACAAUUUUGACCUCACUAUCUACGAGAGAAUUAAGGAUAUGAAGGCAUAGCACAAUGCCUACGAGUAUUUAAUUUCAUAUUUUUAUAACGUGGUCUCUUGUCUUUUUGGGGAAAUGGAAUUUAUGUGGGACUUUUUUCAAUAUUAGAGAUUGACAACGUGGUAUUUUACAGAUCACUGGAGUAAUAGCCCUGUUCCCUUUUUAGGUCUUUGAGCACUGAAAUAGUUGGCGUGGAUACUUAUUACAGAAGCAGAACUGGACAGUAGUUCAUGCGUUAUUGCUUCGAGCUCUUUGCCAGCUCAGGAAUCUGCCUCUUGUAGACAUUUAAAACAAACAAAAAGCUGAUGGAAAUAGAUAAUAAACCUGGUGCCAGACUGAAUAAAAACAAGAGCUCUGUGUCUAUAGCAAAACACCCAGUAAAUAUCUGGAAGCAUCACACAUCAGCAGUCUAGGAAACGUAUUACAACCUGCGGAAGAAAAAAAGUAUGAAUCUGUAUCAGUGAAGACGGUAUAUCUUACACAUCAGUGAGACCUGGUCGUGUGCAGAGGUGCUGGUUAUAGACUGCUUUGGUUUGCAGUCAGAGGCUGUCUGUUUUGAAUAUAAAUAUGAGAACUGUGGAGCAUUCCCACAAGCGUAUUUUUGAGAGGAAAUGACAUGGGUGGUGUGUAUUGAAAACAAAAACUUGAGCAUCUUUUGAAAUGUUUACAGGUUUAUUUAUCUAAAGGGAAACAGAAUACAUCAGGAAAUAUCUUAGCUCUUCCCUGUCCUUUUAUACUUAUUAAAAGAGAAGGAACAGUAAUAAGAAGAAGAUCUGACAUGCAGAUAUUAAAAAUCAUAAGCACUCAUUAAAGCGUUUGGAGCAUUUUUAACCAGCUC